rnacentral:lncRNA from 1 species
CUCUAGAUUUGAUGGACUUGUUUUGACCCUCAAAUUCUUCAGUCGGCCUUAUACUUUGGAGGAAACCAGAAAACCCUCCAGCCCAGUUCAAGAAUAAGCUUGUGGAAAGUUACUUCUUCAAAAGCAAAAGUAUCCCAUAUCAUCUCUUCUCAUUUUUCUUUUCUUUAUCCUUCAUGCUGCCUGCAAGAUAGGGAGAAUGUGAACAAUCAGCCGGAGCUCUGAUUGCUUACCUUGUCUGUUACCUCUUUCAGCAGAUCCCCUAGCUCGGCGAC